rnacentral:rRNA from 1 species
UGGGGAAUAUUGGACAAUGGGCGAAAGCCUGAUCCAGCAAUGCCGCGUGAGUGAUGAAGGCCUUAGGGUUGUAAAGCUCUUUUACCCGGGAUGAUAAUGACAGUACCGGGAGAAUAAGCUCCGGCUAACUCCGUGCCAGCAGCCGCGGUAAUACGGAGGGAGCUAGCGUUGUUCGGAAUUACUGGGCGUAAAGCGCACGUAGGCGGCUUUGUAAGUUAGGGGUGAAAGCCUGGAGCUCAACUCCAGAAUUGCCUUUAAGACUGCAUGGCUCGAAUCCAGGAGAGGUGAGUGGAAUUCCGAGUGUAGAGGUGAAAUUCGUAGAUAUUCGGAAGAACACCAGUGGCGAAGGCGGCUCACUGGACUGGUAUUGACGCUGAGGUGCGAAAGCGUGGGGAGCAAACA